AUGUUUUCAAGAUGGCGACGAGAGGCUGAAAAUUGCUCAUAUUUUACUUAAAAUAGCUCAAAAGUGGCACCUAUCUGAGGUUCAAAAGGCAUGUAAUUUGAAAGUAUACCUACUAAAGUUAAGUAAUCAGGAAUAAAACUCGUCUGCAAGCAAUUUUCUGAAAAGUUAUGAAUCUCCGAAUUGGGUCUAUUUUUAGCUGUUUGUUUACAUUCGCGUGUUCGCUGAUCAGCGACACUAGUAAUAAUUAAAAAGUUAAAUAAGCUGGUUUAUUAUCCAGCUUCUAAUACACAACAUAAAAACAUUAAAAAUACAACCUUAACC